rfam:Paenibacillus sp. TNCCL117 genome assembly, contig: FG16DRAFT_scaffold00008.8
AACAUGCUGUAACCGCUCGAAGCGGGUACCCCAAGAGCUUGUCUUUCCGGACAAGUCACCUGGCUUAUAGGCGAGUCUGAGACAUGAG